GGUUAAGCUACUAAGAGCGCACGGUGGAUACCUUGGCGUCAGCAGCCGAUGAAGGACGCAAUAAACUGCGAAAUGCUACGGGGAGCCGUUAUGGGCUACGAUCCGUAGGUCUCCGAAUGGGGCAACCCCGCUGAGUGAAGCUCAGCGACGCAUAUCUGAAUACAUAGGGUAUAGCGAGGUAAGUCCGGGAACUGAAACAUCUUAGUACCGGGAAGAAAAGAAAACAAAACAGUGAUUCCCUCAGUAGCGGCGAGUGAACGGGGAGGAGCCUAAACCAUUAGGACGAAAGUCCUAGUGGGGUCGCGGGACUCCGCAAGGGAUGGGAUAAGGUUAGUCGAAGAGCUCUGGAAAGAGCCACCAUAGACGGUGACAGUCCGGUAAACGAAAACCUUUGAACCCCGGGAGUAUCCCAAGUAGUACGGGACACGCGAAACCCUGUACGAAUCUGCCAGGACCAUCUGGUAAGGCUAAAUACUGACUGACGACCGAUAGUGAACAAGUACUGCGAAGGAAAGGUGAAAAGAACCCGUGAGAGGGAGUGAAAUAGAACAUGAAACCGUGUGCUUACAAGCAAUUGGAGCCCUAUUUAUAGGGUGACAGUGUGCCUGUUGAAGAAUGAGCCGGCGAGUUACCGUAUGUAGUUGGUUAAGCAGUUAAUAUGCGAAGCCACAGGGAAACCGAGUCUGAUAAGGGCGUCGAUAAUUACAUGCGGUAGACCCGAACCCUGAUGAUCUAGGCAUGGCCAGGAUGAAGCGCAAGUAACAUUGCGUAGAGGUCCGAACCAACCGAUGUUGAAAAAUCGGUGGAUGAGCUGUGUUUAGGGGUGAAAUGCCAAUCGAAUCAGGAGCUAGCUGGUUCUCCCCGAAAGGCGUUGAGGCACCGCGUCAGAUUUAUCCUACAGGGGGUAGAGCACUAGUUCGGUGCGGGCGGAGAAAAUCCGUACCAAAUCGAGUUAAACUCCGAAUACCUGUAGCGUCAUUAUCUGGCAGUGAGAGUGCGAGAGAUAAGUUCCGUACUCAAGAGGGAAACAGCCCAGACUACCGACUAAGGUCCCAAAAUUCAUGCUAAGUGAUUAAGGAGGUGGAGUUGCAUAGACAACUAGGAUGUUGGCUUAGAAGCAGCCACCAUUCAAAGAAAGCGUAAUAGCUCACUAGUCAAGCGACUCUGCGCCGAAAACAUACGGGGCUAAGCAUGAUACCGAAAUCGUAGGAUCAGAGUAAUCUGAUCGGUAGGGGAGCGUUCUGUUGUAGGACGAAGUGCGACCGUUAGGACGCAUGGACGAAGCAGAAGUGAGACUGUCGGCUUAAGUAGCGAAAACAUUGGUGAGAAUCCAAUGCACCGAAAGACUAAGGGUUCCCACGCAAGGUUCGUCCACGUGGGGUUAGCCGGGAGCUAAGAUGAGGCCGAGAGGCGUAGUCGAUGCACAACGGGUUAAUAUUCCCGUGCUACCUUGUAACCGCUAGGAGCUAAGUCGGGACGCAGGAGGCUAUACACAGGGGACAGUUUGGUUUUGUCCCUCCAAAGGCGUAGCUAGUCCGGGUAGGCAAAUCCGCCCGGGCGUUUUAACGUAAGGCCGAGUAGGAAAUGCUCUACGGAGCAAAUUGUGUAGAUGCCACGCUGCCGAGAAAAGCGGCGAAAGCCAGGUUACAUGGUACUCGUACCCUAAACCGACACAGGUAGUCAGGUAGAGAAUACCAAGGUGCGCGAGAUAACUCUCUCUAAGGAACUCGGCAAAAUAACCUCGUAACUUCGGAAGAAGAGGUGCCAUGCUAGGGUGUAAGACUUCGCGUCUGAAGCCUGAGAUGGUCGCAGCGACGAGGCUCAAGCGACUGUUUAUCAAAAACACAGGUCUCUGCUAAACCGUAAGGUGAUGUAUAGGGGCUGACUCCUGCCCAGUGCCGGAAGGUUAAGUGGAUCGGUUAGCGCAAGCGAAGCUGAGAAACAAAGCCCCGGUGAACGGCGGCCGUAACUAUAACGGUCCUAAGGUAGCGAAAUUCCUUGUCGGGUAAGUUCCGACCCGCACGAAUGGAGUAACGAUUUGAGCGCUGUCUCGGAGAGAGGCUCGGCGAAAUAGGAUUGUCUGUGAAGAUACGGACUAGGCGUGCCAGGACAGAAAGACCCUAUUGAGCUUUACUGUAGGCUGAAAUUGUCUGCGGGCUAUAUCUGCGCAGGAUAGGUGGGAGACUUUGAAGUCAGAAUUUUGGUUCUGAUGGAGUCAACGUUGAGAUACCACUCUGAUGUAGCUAGCAUACUAACCUGAUUCCGUUAUCCGGGUCGGGAACAGUUUCAGUUGGGCAGUUUGACUGGGGCGGUCGCCUCCUAAACAGUAACGGAGGCGCCCAAUGGUUCCCUCAGGCUGGUCGGAAAUCAGCCAUCGAGCGUAAAGGUAGAAGGGAGCUUGACUGAGAGUGAGACAUCACGAUCAGGGACGAAAGUCGGGCUUAGUGAUCCCACGACUCCGCAUGGAAGGGUCGUUGCUCAUCGGACAAAAGUUACCAUAGGGAUAACAGGCUGAUCUCGCCCAAGAGUCCACAUCGACGGCGAGGUUUGGCACCUCGAUGUCGGCUCAUCGCAUCCUGGAGCGGUAGUACGUUCCAAGGGUUGGGCUGUUCGCCCAUUAAAGCGGUACGUGAGCUGGGUUCAGAACGUCGUGAGACAGUUCGGUCCAUAUCCGGCAUGCCCGUAGGAUUUUUGAGAGGAGUCGUCCCUAGUACGAGAGGACCAGGACGAACGAGCCGCCAGUAUGGCUGUUAUCGCGCCAGCGGUAAACGCAGCGUAGCUGUGCUCGGAGCGGAUAAGUGCUGAAAGCAUAUAAGUACGAAGCCCACCUCAAGAUGAGAAAUCCCAUAGCGUAAGCUAGUAAGACCCCCGGAAGACCACCGGGUUGAUAGGACGCAGGUAGAAGUGCCCCGCAAGGCAAGCACGUAGCUGAGCGUUACUAAUCGGUCGAGGGCUUAACCAA
rnacentral:rRNA from 1 species